CAGUAGCCACGGGAAUACGUAGGGGGCAAGCAUUAUCCGGAAUUACUGGGUGUAAAGGGAGCGUAGACGGUUAAACAAGUCUGAAGUGAAAUGCCGGGGCUCAACCCCGGAGCUGCUUUGGGAACUGUAGAACUGGAGUGUCGGAGGGGUAAGCGGAAUUCCCAGUGUAGCGGUGAAAUGCGUUGAGAUCGGAAAGAACACCAACGGCGAAAGCACUCUGCUGGGCCGACACUGACACUGAGAGACGAAAGCUAGGGGAGCAAAUGGGAUUAGAUACCCCAGUAGUCCCUGUCUCUUAUAC
rnacentral:rRNA from 1 species